rnacentral:rRNA from 1 species
GACGAACGCUGGCGGCGUGCUUAACACAUGCAAGUCGAACGGAAAGGCCCUGCUUUUGUGGGGUGCUCGAGUGGCGAACGGGUGAGUAACACGUGAGUAACCUGCCCUUGACUUUGGGAUAACUUCAGGAAACUGGGGCUAAUACCGGAUAGGAGCUCCUGCUGCAUGGUGGGGGUUGGAAAGUUUCGGCGGUUGGGGAUGGACUCGCGGCUUAUCAGCUUGUUGGUGGGGUGGUGGCUUACCAAGGCUUUGACGGGUAGCCGGCCUGAGAGGGUGACCGGCCACAUUGGGACUGAGAUACGGCCCAGACUCCUACGGGAGGCAGCAGUGGGGAAUAUUGCACAAUGGGCGGAAGCCUGAUGCAGCAACGCCGCGUGCGGGAUGACGGCCUUCGGGUUGUAACCCGCUUUCGCCUGUGACGAAGCGUGAGUGACGGUAAUGGGUAAAGAAGCACCGGCUAACUACGUG